UUAAAUGAGAGUUUGAUCCUGGCUCAGGACGAACGCUGGCGGCGUGCCUAAUACAUGCAAGUGGGACGCAAGAGAACACACUGUGCUUGUACACCGUGUUUUCUUGAGUCGCGAACGGGUGAGUAACGCGUAGGUAACCUGCCUAUUAGCGGGGGAUAACUAUUGGAAACGAUAGCUAAUACCGCAUAAUAUUAAUUAUUGCAUGAUAAUU
rnacentral:rRNA from 1 species